rnacentral:rRNA from 1 species
UGAGGAAUUUUGCGCAAUGGGGGAAACCCUGACGCAGCAACGCCGCGUGGGUGAUGAAGGCCUUCGGGUCGUAAAGCCCUGUCGGGCGGGAAGAACGUCCUUUCGGGGAAUGACGGUACCGCCAGAGGAAGCACCGGCUAACUCCGUGCCAGCAGCCGCGGUAAUACGGAGGGUGCAAGCGUUAUUCGGAAUUACUGGGCGUAAAGGGCGUGCAGGCGGGAGAGCAAGUCUGAUGUGAAAGCCCGGGGCUUAACCCCGGAAGGGCAUUGGAAACUGCUUUUCUUGAGUUCUGGAGAGGAAGGGAGAAUUCCCGGUGUAGAGGUGAAAUUCGUAGAGAUCGGGAGGAACAUCAGUGGGGAAGGCGCCCUUCUGGACAGCAGCUGACGCUGAGACGCGAAAGCGUGGGGAGCGAGCA